rnacentral:rRNA from 1 species
CUCAGUCGGAUUGGAGUCUGCAACCCGACUCCAUGAAGCUGGAUUCGCUAGUAAUCGCGCAUCAGCCACGGCGCGGUGAAUACGUUCCCGGGCCUUGUACACACCGCCCGUCAAGCCAUGGAAGCCGGGAGUGCCUGAAGUGCGUGAGCGCAAGCAGCGCCCUAAGGUAAAACCGGUGACUGGGGCUAAGUCGUAACAAGGUAUC